rnacentral:rRNA from 1 species
GACGAACGCUGGCGGCGUGCUUAACACAUGCAAGUCGAGCGGUAAGGCCCUUCGGGGUACACGAGCGGCGAACGGGUGAGUAACACGUGGGCAACCUGCCCCGAGCUCUGGGAGUAACUCCGGGAAACCGGGGCUAAUACCGGAUACGACCCUUGGAGACAUCUCCUUGGGUGGAAAGUUUUUCGGCUCGGGAUGGCCCGCGGCCUAUCAGCUUGUUGGUGGGGUAACGGCCCACCAAGGCGACGACGGGUAGCCGGCCUGAGAGGGCGACCGGCCACACUGGGACUGAGACACGGCCCAGACUCCUACGGGAGGCAGCAGUGGGGAAUAUUGCGCAAUGGGCGAAAGCCUGACGCAGCGACGCCGCGUGAGGGAUGAA